rnacentral:rRNA from 1 species
AGCAGCCGCGGUAAUUCCAGCUCCAAUAGCGUAUAUUAAAGUUGUUGCAGUUAAAAAGCUCGUAGUUGAAUUUUAGGCCUGGCCGGGCGGUCCGUCUUUGGCGAGUACUGUCCUGUGUCGGGUCUUCCUUCUGGUGAACCAGUAUGUCCUUUAUUGGGUGUGCCGGGGAGCCAGGACCAUUACCUUGAAAAAUUAGAGUGUUUAAAGCGGGCAUUUGCUUGAAUAGAUUAGCAUGGAAUAAUAGAAUAGGACGUUGUGGUUCUAUUUUGUUGGUUUCUAGGACCACCGUAAUGAUUAAUAGGGAUAGUUGGGGGCAUUAGUAUUCAAUUGUCAGAGGUGAAAUUCUUGGAUUUAUUGAAGACUAACUAUUGCGAAAGCAUUUGCCAAGGAUGUUUUCAUUAAUCAAGAACGAAAGUUAGGGGAUCGAAGACGAUCAGAUACCGUCGUAGUCUUAACCAUAAAACUAUGCCGACUAGGAAUCGGGCGACGUUAUUUUCAUGACUCGCUCGGCGCCUUAUGG